UAAAAGAUAGAACUCUUCACACGAGGUGCUGU
rnacentral:piRNA from 1 species